UCCGAACUGGUGUAUCGGUUAACAUUUGUCGCUUUCAUUCGAGAGUGCCGACAGGCGCAGGGUUCGACUCCCUGGUUCGGAA
rnacentral:tRNA from 4 species